AUGAAACACUCCUACGGGAGGCAGCAGUGAGGAAUAUUGGACAAUGGGUGGAAGCCUGAUCCAGCCAUCCCGCGUGCAGGACGACUGCCCUAUGGGUUGUAAACUGCUUUUAUAUAGGGAUAAACCUACUCUCGUGAGAGUAGCUGAAGGUACUAUAUGAAUAAGCACCGGCUAACUCCGUGCCAGCAGCCGCGGUAAUACGGAGGGUGCAAGCGUUAUCCGGAUUUAUUGGGUUUAAAGGGUCCGUAGGUGGGCUGAUAAGUCAGCGGUGAAAUCCUGCAGCUUAACUGUAGAACUGCCGUUGAUACUGUUAGUCUUGAGUGUAUUUGAAGUGGCUGGAAUAAGUAGUGUAGCGGUGAAAUGCAUAGAUAUUACUUAGAACACCAAUUGCGAAGGCAGGUCACUAAGAUACAACUGACGCUGAGGGACGAAAGCGUGGGGAGCGAACAGGAUUAGAAACCCCUGUAGUCCGAAGUUC
rnacentral:rRNA from 1 species